ensembl:lncRNA
GUCGGUGAAAGUGGGUCUAGCUGCUUGCCACUGGAAAGCCAAUAAAGAGCGCCGCCGUGGUAGAUCGUGAUUUCAAAACACAAUCGUAAUCACCAUCAGAAGAAAUGGGGAAGAUGGAAAACAUACACAAAGCAAUUAAGACGUCCUUGUUGCUCCUGGAAUUGUGACCUUCACACUGCAGAAGUGCUCUGAGAUCUGCAAGAACGGUGCUCACACCAGCAUGGGGCAUGUCCCUCAGGGAGGUGAGUACUGUCCCCACCUGCCGUCCUCCACGUCUGGUCUGUGGCUACGUGUAGCCCCUCUGAAAGCUGGCCAGUGGGGUUCUUCCUUCCUCCAUGGUUUUGCUUUAGCUGUAGGUUCAGUGAG